rnacentral:rRNA from 1 species
GCGGGGAUAAGUAUAUUANACGAGAAGACCCCAUGGAGCUUUAAACCCGACAGCACCCACUUAUUUAACACCUUCUUAUCCGCCUGGCCCCUGUCUGCUCGGUUUUGGGUUGGGGUGACCGCGGAGCAUAAAAUAGCCUCCACGAAAGAAGGGAUGAUUCCCUCAUUUUAGAACUACACUUCCAAAGACUAACAAAUUAAUUUUAAGUGAUCCGAUACCCGUAUUCGAUCAACGAACCAAGUUACCCUGGGGAUAACAGCGCAAUCUACCUCAAGAGCCCCUAUCGACAGGUGGGUUUACGACCUCGAUGUUGGAUCAGGGUAUCCCAGUGGUGCAGCAGCUACCAAAGGUUCGUUUGUUCAACGAUUAA